rnacentral:rRNA from 1 species
UAACACAUGCAAGUUGAGCGAUUUACUUCGGUAAAGAGCGGCGGACGGGUGAGUAACGCGUGGGUAACCUACCCUGUACACACGGAUAACAUACCGAAAGGUAUGCUAAUACGGGAUAAUAUAUUUGGGAGGCAUCUCUUGAAUAUCAAAGGUGAGCCAGUACAGGAUGGACCCGCGUCUGAUUAGCUAGUUGGUAAGGUAACGGCUUACCAAGGCGACGAUCAGUAGCCGACCUGAGAGGGUGAUCGGCCACAU